rnacentral:lncRNA from 1 species
AGAUAUUGCACAUAAAGAGACUGAAUUGGUAUUGUAAGUUCUCGUGCACUGUUUACCAAUUAAUGUAUUAUGUGUUUUUUUCCUUCAAAAAUUUGGAAGAAAGUAGUAAUGUCCAAAUUUUAAAACCGACAUCGUUGCAUUCAUUGGAAAGUGGUGUUUUUUCAUUGGUAUCUCUUCCGAAAAGGUUUUAUCCGGAUUCAAGGGAACGUUUGACUGUUACGAGAAGAUAUUAUCCAUCUCUUUUAAGGCAAGAGACAAUUCAUUCCUCUCGCAUUUCGAAUUCUGUAAAGUUUUCAUGAGAAAACAGCCAAGGUCUGCCAAGAAAAUCAAGGCAGGUGGGAUCUUGUGCAGAUAACUUAUAUUCCGGGACAAGUCCGCCAAACAGAGGUACUUCAUAAGAAAAAGGUCCGUUAAACAGAGGUAUGUGAUUGAAAUCAAAGUUCGUUACCUCCGAAAGAAUAGUUGAUUUUAAACUUCUAAAAGAAUAUAGGGUGUAAUAUUUUUGAGAUAUUUGGGUAUUAAGGUCGGAGAAAAAUGUUUGAGAAGUAUCCAAACAGAGUAUAUGAGGAUAUUGUUAGAACGUUUAUGCAAAUUUAAAUGUAAUAGACCAUGGUGGUUUUGACACCCUAGUAGCAGGUAGAUGAUUGAUCAUUGAUGAGGAAUUUUGAUGAAGUCUUUAAGGUUAAGUUUGUUGGGGAUUCUAUGCAUUUCAAAAUAUUUGGCUAGAAAUUACAAAUUCUCGUUAGAAUAGGUGAACUGAACUCAGUGAGUGUUCGCAAGAAAAUUUUGAAAACCGAAUGAGUGCACAUGCAUUAAGGUUUGAAAACAUAAUGAUAAUGGGUACCAUUUUAUUUCCCAGAGUUGGGUCAUAUAGUCUACUUACUAUGCAUCUAUUCUGUUCAGUUUGGUCAGUUAUGGAAAGAUAAAGUUGUCCACUUGGAUAACUAACUAAAUGAUUGAGAGUUCUAAUGAUUUAUAUGUUGGAGGGGGGGAGGGGGUAGUUUACCGUUUAAAAUGUUAAUCACUUGAUUGCUUGAACAUGAAGGUGUCAAUCUUGAAGGUUCGAAAGAGAAAGUCAUCAAAAGCACUUACAAUGAGAAGGCUUUUGAGAGUAUGAAUUUUUCCAUGGAGAAUGAAAAGUGGGUGGGAAAAAUCGAAUUAGAACAAAUGCCUGAAGCCCAGAUUGCUGGAUCAACAGCGAGAUACUACAUCAAGAUGGUCGCUUGUGCCUAAGAAGCACGACAUUGAUGAGGUUUUGGGAAAGGUCAGAAGCCUGGAAAAAAUGAUAUAUGUGUGCGAAAGGAAGGACUUGAAUGACAUGAUUACAAGGUUUAACUCUGACUGGCUAGAGUAGUCAGGAAAAUAGACUGUAUUGAGAAUCAAGUGCACAAUCAGUUUGACCCUUGGAGCACUGCUUUUGAAAGUUGUCAGGGAGCAUUUAGCUAAUAUUGACUGACUGAAUUUUCUGAGGAGUUUUAAACUGGUUGUGGAUGGAUAACUUUAUAUUUGGUUUGGGUGACCGUAAAAUAUAUUUAAUUCUUUUGCUUGCUUAUUUCAUUAUGGUAAGCAAAGGCCAACUACAGAAGCAAGAAGGCAUCGCCUGCGGCUUCUAAUACAAUGACAAGCUCUAGUGGGAAUUCUGAGGUUGUUUUAAGUCACUGUGGAUGGUUAAUUAUCUUUUGAUUUUGAACUGAUUAAUUAUCAUCAGUAGUAGAAUGUUUAUUAUUGUAAUUAUCUCUUGUCUGCUUUGAGUGUUUUGGUUGAUGUCAAAACUAAAAGGGGGAGAAGAUGGGUCAAAUAGAUGGGGAGUUUCAUAUAAAGAGGAAAAGCACAUAGAUAGGGGGAGUUCAAUUCUGCAUGAAACGGAGGAAGCAUAUAAUAGAGGGAGUAUUAUUUUAUAUUAUUAAAUACGAUGACUUAUUUUAAACUUCAGGUUUGCCAUUAUCAAAAGGGUGAGAUUGUUAGCUUUGAGAAAUAUUUUUAUGGUGACAAAAUUGAAGUGAAAAAAACUUGAAUAAUUGAGAAUAUGUUAUGUGUUUGACAGGAUAAUGUCGCUUGAGUGAGUCAAGUCAUGAAGAGCAUACACACGAGUCGAAUGAUACACCCCAUAGAAGUAGCUCAAGUAGAAGAUGCAUCAAGUCGGAUGAAAGGAGUUGUUGAAUCAUCAUAAAUAGAAGAAUGAUUUAGAUGAAGACAAUGAGAGCAAGAAGAAAGAACUGAAUGAGGAAGAUUCAGUCAGACAAGUGUGCAAAGUGUAAAUAGUGCACCAAUUAUUGAGUGAGGCAUCAAGUUUCAAAAGAAGGUUAUCACAAGAAGGGAAGUAAAUGAAGAUUUGAAGCCGUUAGGAUGAAAAAGCACGGGGCAGGAAUUAAUUACUUCGUCAGAUUUUGAAGAAGAAUGUGACCCAGACAAGCAUGCUGAGGAAUUUGCAAUAGCAAGUGAAGGACAACAUUCACAGACUUUUGACUGUCACCUCUUCAAUUUUCACUCUUGUACAGGUAAAUAUUACUAGCCUUGCAUUAUCUAUGCUCUUGAAAAAGCUAUUUGGUGCAUUGAAGAGUAGAGACUGAAAAAGGAAAAGCUUGUACUAUAUAGGGCUGCGACAUUUGUGGUGUGCAAGCUAAAAAACCACUUUUAUUCUCUUGUUGGUGAGCGAGGAAAAACUAACAUUGUAAGCAUUUUGUGGUGAUCGAGAUAACUAUAGUUUUGUGGUAACCAUACUUGUUACAUGUAACAGUGAAAAUAAGAAAAGAAAGAGUAACAGAAUCCCUUGGAAGUCAAGGAAGCUGAAUAUAGGCUAAAUGUUUGGGGACUUUGGUCCAAAGUCUAAACCAAUACAAAAACUAUCGAAGUGUUCUUUGUGUUUACUGCUUUCUUAUUCUUCUAACUGUUUAAUAUUUACACUUCCAUUG